rnacentral:rRNA from 1 species
UACGUAGGGUCCAAGCGUUAAUCGGAAUUACUGGGCGUAAAGGGUGCGCAGGUGGUUACGUAAGUCUGAUGUGAAAUCCCCGGGCUCAACCUGGGAACUGCAUUGGAGACUGUGUGACUAGAGUGUGGCAGAGGGGGGUGGAAUUCCGCGUGUAGCAGUGAAAUGCGUAGAGAUGCGGAGGAACACCAAUGGCGAAGGCAGCCCCCUGGGUUAACACUGACACUCAUGCACGAAAGCGUGGGGAGCAAACAGG